UACGAAGGGGGCUAGCGUUGUUCGGAAUUACUGGGCGUAAAGCGCGUGUAGGCGGGUCCUUAAGUCAGGGGUGAAAUACCAAGGCUCAACCUUGGAACUGCCUUUGAUACUGGGGAUCUUUAGUCCGGGAGAGGUGAGUGGAACUGCGAGUGUAGAGGUGAAAUUCGUAGAUAUUCGCAAGAACACCAGUGGCGAAGGCGGCUCACUGGCCCGGAACUGACGCUGAGACGCGAAAGCGUGGGGAGCAAACAGG
rnacentral:rRNA from 1 species